GAAAUGCGAUAAGUAAUGUGAAUUGCAGAAUUCAGUGAAUCAUCGAAUCUUUGAACACACCUUGCGCUCCUUGGUAUUCCUUGGAGCAUGCCUGUUUGAGUAUCAUGAAAUCUUCAAAGUAAAUCUUUUGUUAACUCAAUUGGUUUCUACUUUGGUAUUGGAGGUCUUUGCAGCUUCACACCUGCUCCUCUUUGUUCAUUAGCUGGAUCUCAGUGUUAUGCUUGGUUCCACUCGGCGUGAUAAGUUAUCUAUCGCUGAGGACACUGUAAAAGGUGGCCAAGGUAAAUGCAGAUGAACCGCUUCUAAUAGUCCAUUGACUUGGACAAUACUUUUAUGAUCUGAUCUCAAAUCAGGUAGGACUACCCGCUGAACUUAAGCA
rnacentral:misc_RNA from 1 species